rnacentral:rRNA from 1 species
GAUGAACGCUGGCGGCGUGCCUAAUACAUGCAAGUAGAACGCUGAAGGAGGAGCUUGCUCUUUCCGGAUGAGUUGCGAACGGGUGAGUAACGCGUAGGUAACCUGCCUGGUAGCGGGGGAUAACUAUUGGAAACGAUAGCUAAUACCGCAUAACAGUAGAUAUUGCAUGAUAUUUGCUUGAAAGGGGCAAUUGCUCCACUACCAGAUGGACCUGCGUUGUAUUAGCUAGUUGGUGAGGUAACGGCUCACCAAGGCGACGAUACAUAGCCGACCUGAGAGGGUGAUCGGCCACACUGGGACUGAGACACGGCCCAGACUCCUACGGGAGGCAGCAGUAGGGAAUCUUCGGCAAUGGACGGAAGUCUGACCGAGCAACGCCGCGUGAGUGAAGAAGGUUUUCGGAUCGUAAAGCUCUGUUGUAAGAGAAGAACGAGUGUGAGAGUGGAAAGUUCACACUGUGACGGUAUCUUACCAGAAAGAGACGGCUAACUACGUG